AUUGAACGCUGGCGGCAGGCCUAACACAUGCAAGUCGAACGAGUGGCGGACGGGUGAGUAAUGUCUGGGAAACUGCCUGAUGGAGGGGGAUAACUACUGGAAACGGUAGCUAAUACCGCAUACCAUCGGAUGUGCCCAGAUGGGAUUAGCUAGUUGGUGGGGUAAAGGCUCACCAAGGCGACGAUCCCUAGCUGGUCUGAGAGGAUGACCGGCCACACGGAAACUGGGACACGGUCGAGACACCUACGGAAGGCAGCAGUGGGGAAUAUGGCGCAAUGGGAGCAAGCCUGAUGCAGCCAUGCCGGGAGUAUGAAGGAGGCCUUCGGGUUGUAAAGUACUUUCAGCGAGGAGGCGUUACCCGGAGAAGAGUCACAGGCUAACUCCGUGCAAACAGCCGCGGUAAUAC
rnacentral:rRNA from 1 species